ACGUAGGGUGCGAGCGUUAAUCGGAGUUACUGGGCGUAAAGCGUGCGUAGGCGGUUUUGUAAGACAGGUGUGAAAUCCCCGGGCUUAACCUGGGAACUGCGUUUGAGACUGCACAACUUGAAUACGGGAGAGGGUGGCGGAAUUCCAGGUGUAGGAGUGAAAUCCGUAGAUAUCAGGAGGAACAUCAGUGGCGAAGGCAGCCACCUGGACCGGUAUUGACGCUGAUGUGCGAAAGCGUGGGGAGCAAACAG
rnacentral:rRNA from 1 species